rnacentral:lncRNA from 1 species
UCCCAGAUUUUGCUCUCCAGCUUCCAGUUCUCGGUCUCCAGGCUCCUCACUCGUCCAGAUAAUUCUUCUUCUAAAGAAUAACUUCUGGAGUACUACUGGAUCCAAGCAGAGACUGAAUGACUGAACAAGGUCCAUCAAACAACCAUAUAGCCUGAGCUGCCCAUCAGGAACUGAAGUUAUCUAAUGCCACCUACUUGGGUGUCAGCAUCAGCACUCUAGAACCACGUGCAAGUACAGUUGAUGGUUAAACAACGCAGGUUUGAACUGCAUGGGUCCACUUAGAUGUGGUUUUUUUUUGUUUGUUUUGUUUUUCAAUAAAUCUCUCCCGCCUCUCUUUCCACCUCCUCCAUCUCUUCCUUCUCUGCCACCCCUGAGACAGCAAAACCAACCCCCCUCCUCUUCCUUCUCCUCUUCAGGCUACUUAAUGUGAAGACUAUAAGCGUGAAAACCUUUAUGAUGAUCCACUUCCACUUAAUGAAUAGUAAAUAUAUUUUCUCUUCUUUAUGAUUGUUUUAGGAACAUUUUCUUUUUCUCUAGCUUAUUUUAUUGUAAAUAUAUAGUAUGUCUUACAUAUAUCAUAGAAAAUAGCUGUUAAUUAUCUGUUUAUGUUAUUGGUAAGCCUUCUGGCCAAUAGUAAGCUACUAGUAGUUAAGUUUUGGGGGAGUCAAAAGACAUACACAAAUUGUCAGCUGUGCAGGGGUUGGUGCUCAUAACCCUCUCAUUGUUCAAGGGCCAACUGUAGUAUAAACAAGACCAUGCUCAAGCAGGCCUUGAAGGCACAAAUAAGCUAUGGGAGAAGUUGGCUCAGAUUCCCUGGCACCUACUCCCUGCUCGUUGUCACCUCUCCCCUGGCCCAAACUCACAGCCCUAUGAUUAGUUCCAAGAAAGAAACAACUUGGACCCGAUUUUGAGAUGAUCUGAUUUUGAGAUAAUUCUGCAUGGUGUACUGGCACUACCCCCAAAUGGAGUGGUAUGGCAUUUCAGCUUUAUUCAUGGCUAGUCCUCAAGAGCAUAGUGAAUGGUCCAUGAUGGCUGUAAGGAGCCACUAAAAGGAUAAGAAAGAGAUUCUUACCUAAGUCUCCCUGAUGCCCAUAUACAACAUUACAUUUUAUGUAUCAGAGCUCAAGACUCCAGUGUUUUCCUAUCACCCACCCACUGCUAUUCCCCUCCACGGCCCCUCACUGCGGCUACCAUUUAUUCACUACUGUUCACUAGAUGCUCUCCCAGCUUCGGGAUUCGUUUCAAGAUGGUGCUUCUCUCUGAGUGACCUUUCCCACCCAACCCGCAAAGCUGUCACCUGAUUAAAGCCUUUUGGAUUUGCCACUAAUUACCACUCUCUCCCCUUCUUACACCUAUAGAAUUUUUUCUAUGUCUUCCCCUGUCUUGCACUUUACAUCAAUAUGCCCUAAACAAGGGGCCUGAAAUUCAAACACUUAAAGAGGUGAGGCAGGUUACUUGAAUGUGUGACAAAGGCCUGGCAGUUGCACCUUAAAUUCAUCGGGUUAUUUUUACUUCUCAAAGGGAAUAUGCUGUCCUCCACAUUUCUUAAAACAUGGGGUCCUUUGGACCUUUCGUUUCCCACUUUUGAUACAGACAUAGGUACAAAACUAUUUCCCUAGUGUUUUUUCACACUUGUUAACAAAUAACCACUAAGACUCAACCUCUGAGCUGGGAAAGAGGGACUGGUGACGACUGUGGCAAACUGAAAAACUCAUCCUGUCAAAAUGGAGAGACUGCACUCAGUUCCUGGUGAGUGUGUGGUGGAAUAAUGGGGCCCUAUCUUGGGGUUUUUUUGUUUUUGUUGUUGUUGUUUUGUAGAAACUGGAAAUUCAGAUUUUUAUGUGAAAUUAUACAAUUUCAAGUUUAGCCUCAAAUUUGCUACAGCAGUGUGCCAGUCAGAAACUAAAGGAAUUCACAGGCAGGAAUGGGCCUCCAGGCAACAAUUUGCAACUUCUGCCUGUGGUAGCAUGAGUUCCUUGAGGGCAAGAAAUGGUUCUUAUUCACUUGUGUAUAAGAGCUCAGGACAAUGACUGGCACGUGAUACCUUCUCAUUAAAUAUUUGCUACCUUUAGUUAAGUUUUCAAGAAUCAAAUAAAAUUGUGUCUUGUCUAAUUCUACAGCUAGAAAUCCUUAACAAAAGAAUUUUUUCUUACACCUUUUACAUACGCCCCAGAGCCUAGCACAUCACUUGUACACUGUAGAAGGGAAACACACCAACUGUUUGUUAACAGCUUGGUUUGAUUUUGCUUAUCAGAUGAGAAGCAAGCUAUGUCCUAAGGCUUAAGAUUAGGGAACAUAAGACGGAUGAUUUUGAUAAGGAGAAAUAGGUCAAAAGAGAUAUUAAAUGCUGCCCUCAGGAGGUACGAUGAAGCAACUCAGUGAUUUCUGAACAAGAAUAUGGGAAUAUGUGAGAACCCUGGACCUUUGGGGGACUUGGUGACACAAUAAACCCUGCUUACUUGACUACUAUUUGUUUGUUUGUUUGUUUGUUUUUUGUAAAUGCACUGCUUGCUAAUUUCAUUUUUAAAACAUCAUUAUUUUCGAGUUACUACUCUUUGAAAACAUUUAUAACUCUGGGCAGUUUUUUCAGUUUGAAAAAUUCAAAGAGCAAGUCCCUGGGUCUUGUACAAGUGUCUUCCGCCCCGGGUCAUAAUGAGGCUUAAGGCUUUGCUUCUGCAAUACCAAGCCGUGCUAUGGCUGCCACUGCUGAAUAUGACUUAUCAGGAAGGCUGCUGAUUUAUGAUGGUCACCUUAAACAUAACUUCAAAUGUCCACUCUGAAUAGAACCAUAACAUAUGAAGAAAGGUUUGCAGAAAAGGCUAAAGAAAUGGACUUGGUUUUUGAAUUUUUCAAGUUGAGGAAACUCCCCAGACUUAUAAAUGUUUUCAAAGAGUAAUAACUCAAAAAUAAUGACGUUUUAAAAACGAAAUUAGCAGGCAGUGACAAAUAAAUAAUAGCUGCAUAUCUAUUCAUAUACGCUACUGCCAUAUAAUGUGGCUAAAAGUGAAAACAAGAACUGUUUUAAAUAAACUACAAAAAGACAUAAUUUGCUGAGUCAAUAGUGAGUUGCACCCAAUUUAUUUUAAAAGGAUCAAUUGCAAAUAUUUCCUGUUAAAUUAUCAUACCAUACAUUAAGUAUUUGCCUUGUCUAAUAUAUAAUGAAUGCAUUUUUGCAAAUUUUGCCAUAUGUUAUAAUGCAUUUUAGAUUCAUAAUAAUGACAAUAUUUUAUUAUGCAUAUACAAAACUCAUGAAUUUGAAGACCCUAUAGAAUAUGAAAAUUUUAGUAAGCAAAACUUUGGUUCCAAAAUGUCAUUUUAUGGGACUUUAGAUCUUAUUUCUUUGUGAUAACCAGCCCCUCACCCUCCCCAACACACAUUUCCAAUUUUAUACCAUAUAAACAAGAAAAUAUUCAACUGGAUACAGAAUUAGGUAAUAGUUCUUAGCAUAUGAACACAUGUCAAAACACCUUAAUAUCCCACAGUAGUGAUGCUACCUUAUAAACGGGCACAUAUUCAAUAAAAAUUAGCCAGACAUGAAGGCAUGUGCCUGUAGUCCCAGCUACUAGGGAGGCUGAGGUACAAGGAGCACUUGAGCCCAGGAGUUCAAAGCCAGGCUGGUCGAAGUAGCCAGACCUCAUCUCAAAAAAAUUAAUUUAAUAAAUAUUUACUGAAUACUUACUGUGUGUUGGACACUGUAGGUACCGGGACGAUAUCAGUAUACAGACAAAAAAGCCUACCUGGAGCUUAAAUUCUAAGCCAUUAUGAUGUUUUUAGCCCCAUUUUGCAUUUUGUGCUUAUUAGAUAUUCUGAAAUAAUAUUAUUUAUAAUUUAUAUAUGUUUAUAAUUACAAUUAUAAAAUAUAGUGUUUAAGUUUUCAAAGUACUUUCAAAUGCAGGCACAAAUUGUCUUAUUUUGUUUCACUUCAUUGUGCUUUGCAGAUACUGAGCUUUUUACAAAUUGAAGGUUUGUGGUAAUGCUAUGUUGAGCAACUCUAUCAAUCUGCACCAUUUUUCCAACAGCAUGUGCUCACUCUGUGUAGCUGUGUCACAUUUUGAGAAUUCUCACAAUAUUUCAAGACUCUUCAUUAUUAUUAAAUCUGUUAUGGUAAUCUGUAUUCAGUGAUUUUUGAGGUGACUAUUUAAAUAGUUUUGGGGUUCCAUGAACCACAUCCAUAUAAGAUGGCAAACUUAAUGGAUAAGUGUCGUGUGUGUUCCGACUGCUCCACCAAUUAGCCUUUUCCCCAUCUCUGUCCUCCUCUUCAGACCUCCCUAUUCCCUAAGACACAAUGAUACUGAAAUGAGGCCAAUAAACAGCCCUACAAAGGCUUCUAAGUGUUCAAAAGAAAGAAUUGCGUAUCUCUCUCAUUUAUUUAUUUAUUUAUUUUUAUUUUAUUAUUAUUAUACUUUAAGUUUUAGCGUACAUGUGCACAAUGUGCAGGUUUGUUACAUAUGUAUACAUGUGCCAUGUAAAGCUAGAAAUAAUUAAGCUUAUGAAGAAGGCACAUUGAAAGCUGAGAUAGACCAAAAGCAAGGUUUCUUACAUCAAACAGCUGGCCAAGUUGUGAAUGCAAAGAAAAAGUUUUUGAAGGAAAUGAAAAGUGCUACUCCAGUGAACACACAAAUGAUAAGAAAGCAAAGAAGCCUUAUCACUGAUAUGGAGAAAGUUUGAGUGGCCUGGAUAGAAGAUCAAAUCAGAUAUAACAUCCCUUUAAGCCAAAGCCUAAUCCAGAGCAAAGUCCUAACUCUCUUCAAAUCUAUGAAGAAUGAGAGGUAACGAAGCUGCAGAAGAAAAGUUUAAAGCUACCAGAGGUUGGUUCAUGAGGUUUAAGGAAAUGAGCUGUCUUUAUAAUAUAAAAGUGCAAGGGGAAGCAGUAAGUGCUGACGGAGAAGCUGCAGCUAGUUAUCCAGAAGAUCCAGCUAAGAUCAUUGACGGGGUGGCUAAUCUAAACAAUACAUUUUCAUUGGGGAUGAAACAACUUCCAUUGGAAGAAAAUGCCACCUAGGACUUUCAUAGCUAGAGAGAUGUCAAUACCUGGCUUCAAAUCUUCAAAGGACAGACUGAAUCUUGUUAUAGAUAAUGCAGCUGGUGAUUUUACAUUGAAGCCAAUGCUCCUUUACCAUUUGAAAUAUCCUAGGGCCCUAAAGAAUGAUGCUAAAUCUAUUCUGCCUGUGCUCUAGAAAUGGAGCAACAAAGCCUGGAUGGCAGCACAUCUAAUUACAGCAUGGUUUACUCAAUAUUUUAAGCCCAUUGUUGAGACUUACUCAUCACAAAAAAAAACUUUCAAAAUAUUACUGCAUUGACAAUGUGCCUUUUCACCAAAGAGCUCUGACAGAGAUGUACAAGGAGAUUGAUGUUGGUUUCAUGCCUGAUAACACAAUAUCCAUUCUUCAGCCUGUGGGAUCAAGGAGUAAUUUCAACUUUCAAGUGUCAUUUAAGAAAUACAUUUCAUAAGGCUAUAGAAGCCAUAGAUGGUGAUUCCUCUGAUGGAUCUGGGCAAAUUAAAUUAAAAAUCUUCUGGAAAACAUUCACCAUUCUAGAUACCACUAAGGACAUUCAUGAUUCAUGAGAGGAGGUUAAAAUAUCAACGUUAAAGGAAUUUGGAAGAAGCUGAUUCCAACCCUCAUGGGUGAUUUUAAGGAGUUCCAGACCAGUGGAGGAAGUAACUACAGAUGUGGUGGAAAUAGCAAGAGAAAUAGAAUUAGAAAUGGAGCCUAAAGAUCUGACUGAAUUGCUGCAAUCUCAUGAUAAAAUGUGAGUGAUGAGAAGUUGCUUCUUAUGGAUGAGCAAAGAAAGUGAUUUCUUGAGAUGGAAUUUACUUCUGGUGAAAAUGCUGUGAAAAUUGUUGAAAUGACAACAAAGUAUUUACAAUAGUACAUAAACUUGGUUGAUAAAGCAGCAGAAGGGUUUGAGAAUAGUAAGUUAAGUAACCAACAUCAAACAGCUACAAAUUUUUAAAGAAGUUCCACUGUGAGAAAAAUGCUAUCAAACAGCAUCACAUAUUACAGAAACGUCUUUGGUAAAAAAAAAAAAAAAGUCAAUUAAUGUGGCUAACUUCAUUGUUGUCUUAUUUUAAGAAAUUGCCAUAGCUACGUCAACCUUCCUCAACCACUGCGCUGAUCAGUCAGCAGCUAUCAACGUCGAGGCAAGACCCUCCACCAGCAAAAAGAUUACAACUCACUGAAGGCUCAGAUGAUUGUUAGCAUUUUUUAGCAAUAAAGAACUUUUUAAAUUAAGUAUUUUUUUAGACAUAAUGCUACUGCACACAACAGGCUAUACUAUAGUAUAAACAUAAAUUUAUAUGGAUUUGGAAAACAAAAAAUUUGCAUAACUCCCAUGGUUGCAAUAUCAUUUCAUUGUAGAGGCCUGAAACCGAACCUGCAAUAUCUCUGAGGUAUGCCUGCACAUUCUCAGUUAAUUUUCACAUGUCCCUGGCCUUGAAGUAAGCUUGGCAGAUAUUACUAUCUCUCUGUUACUGGUGAGGAAACUGUAGAUGAUAUAUUCCUGCAGUCACUGUCCUAGGAUUUGUAUCAUCUCUCUCCAAUCUACACAACUGUGAGAGUACUACAAAGAGGUAGAGUCAGAGGCUGAAUAAAAGCUUGAAAUAGUUGCCACAAAGAGAGAAUGAGAGCAAGAGAGAGAGAAGGAGAAAGUGCUAACUGGAGAAACUUAUUAAGAAUGCCAGGAGCAGUUGAGAUUAAUGGCUGUGGCAGUCAUUGACAGUUCAUAAAUACUAGUAUUUGGUUCUUCUCAUUCCUGGUACAUGAUAAGAUUUUACUUUUCUAGACCCUUGAGUGCAGGUAAGGCUACCUGAAUUUCUUUGGCCAAUGAAAGAUGAACAGAACCUUUCCCCUUGUUUCAGGGGCUGUGGAUAGUGAGCCGAGGUGGAGCCUCCAUCACCCUGAAUCCCUGAAUGCCUAAGAGGAGAAGAGCCCCUGCCAGCCCACUCUGGACUUGCAACAUAUGAAAGAAAUUUGUAUCAUGUCAAGCCCUUGAUUUUGAGAUUUGUUGUUUUGCUUAUGUUUUGUUUUGCUUCUUACUGUUUUAGUUUGCUUGUUACUGCAGCAGAACCUAGCCUACCCUGACUGAUAAAAAUGAUGGAUGUUUACGGAUA